rnacentral:lncRNA from 1 species
GAGACAGAGAAGAGUGGAAAUCCGUGAGGAGAGGGGGGGGAGCUGCCUUUGGGCAGCUCGCAGACAGACGCAGCGGAACAGAAAAAUAAUUGGGGGAGAGAAGAGACUGACGUGGGCGCAAGAAGGGAGCACGGGAAGGAAAGAAGACAGUACGGGGAGAGAGGAAAGGAAAAGCAGGAAACGGUGAGGCGCAGCGAGAGGUCAGGAGGUCAGGAGGUCAGCACGCAGAAAGGAAAGAAAAUAAGAGGCCAGUGCACAGUAGGCGCAGGAAAGAGGAGGAGAGACUGACACGGGACUGAGGGCAGAGACCAGCAGAAAUGGGAGCAACACAGAGAAAAGUUUCACUCCAUUUUUCUUGGUUUUAUCUUCUCAAACUCAUGUUUAAUUUUUGGUUUAAUUUUAGAAUAAUGCGUAGCUAAAUUUAUUUUGGCUAGAGGUUAAUUCAAAGCCAUGAAUAUAUUUGUAAUAUGAAUUGAUUACCUUCGGUUGUGAUUUCAUAAGUUGUGAUUUCAAUUGACUUAUCUGUUCGUAUAAAAACUGAUUUGUGUAUGUUGGUUGAGAGUGCACGCUUAAUUUACAUGCAUGAAUUUGAUGCUAGAAUAUAAGUGAAUUUCACCUAAUCGUUAUGAACUUAUUUUCACAAGUAGUAAAGGUUGCUAGUCACAAUCACGUUAAGUAAAUUCUUGGCAAGAGUAUCAUGCUUUUCAUAGUUACGAAUGCCUCGUCAAUGCUUAUAGUUUUCACAAAGUUUAAUGAUCUUUGAUUGUAUCUCUAUUGUGCUUUUCACGUAGGGGACUUUUGAAGAAUGUUUUGAAUUGUUGUAUGCGUUUUCCCGUCCAAUUCAAUAACUUAAGGAAAACUUGAAGAUUAAAAAAGUGCUGUUCACGGUUAAUCUGGAGUAUUGAAAUUCACAAUUUAUUGAAAGAACAACUGAAAAUCAAUUUAGGUUGCAUAUGUGUCAUGUGUGGAGAAGAACCCUCUAGCUAGUCUGUCAUUUAUCAUUUUACCUUAAUUUUAUGUUUUUGUCAAUUCUGUAAUUUAAUUAAGUUUAAUUUACUUUUCAUCAAAACCAAACACCCAUCCAUUAUUAAAUUAUAUUAUUUAGUUAGUUUGCUUUAUUGUUAGUCUUUUAAUUUAAUUUCCGUCCAUUUCAGUUCCUAGUGUUUAAUUUAAUUGUUUUCAUUGUUUGAGUCAUUUUAAGUGUGUUUCGAGUUAUUAGAGUUUUUAGCCUAAUUUUGUGUCCUUGAGUCUUAUUUAAUAUUUUUAAAUUAAUUUAGAAUAGAUUAGCAAUCCCUCCUAAUCCCCGGCCUAGAACGAUACCCUACUUACAUCUAUACUACAAUUGUCAAAAAGAGGGUUUAAUUUGUGUGUUAAGUAAUUUCUCGCAUCAAAUUUUGGCGCCGUUGCCGGGGAUUAGCAACUUUGCUAAUCCUUUUAUUUUUGUUUUUGUUUAUGUUUAUAUUGGUGUUUGUGUAUUUUACUUUUGAUAUUUGAUUUAUUUUUCUUUCUUUGAUUUUAGGUUCAAAUGGAGCCGAGGGAAAUUUAAAGGAAAGAUGCGUCCGGCUAAAGACGUUAAAUCAAGCGCUUCUUGGGAGGCAACCCAAGCAUUCAACGAAGGGAGACUUUGGAAUCGCUAACCCAAUCAGCUUUGCAUUCUUCCAACCUUAUCUUUACUGCUUUCAUUUUGUUUUGUUUAGUUAGUUGUGUUAUUUGGUUGAUUUCUGUGAGUUUGUGUUAUUUAGUUUAAGUGUGGGGGAAGAUUAACCAAAGUCUCUUUACAUUAAUUUACAUUUAAAAAGAAAAAAAAAAAAAGAUAAAAUUUAAAAUUAAUGAUAAAAAAAAAAUUACAUAAAAAAAAAAAAAAAAAAAUUUAAAAAUUAAAAAAAAAAAAAAGUACAAAUAUUUUACAAUAAUGUAAACUAAUAGUAUUCAUUGGUCGGGUGGUGCUUCGGUAGUAGGCGGGGCUUCAGUAGUCGGCGGGGCCACAGAAGGAGGAGGCAGCAGAGGUUGAUCAGUUGGAGCUUCACUACGCGGUGCCGCUCCAGAAGACGAAGGCAGAUGCGGUUGGAACAAACCCACAAACCUCCGAUGAUCAAGUAAAAUUUGACCAUCGGUGUCCUGCAUCUGGUCAAUCUUUCUCUUCAUGCUGGUGGCAUAAUUGUGUGCAAGCUUGUGCAAUUGUUUAUUUUCAUGCUUGAGUCCUCUAAUCUCCUCUUUGAGACUCUGUAUUUCAGCCACCAACGAUUCAACGUGACGGGUUCGAGCAAAUAGGCGUUGGGCCAUGUUGGAUACGGAACCGGCGCACUGCACGCUAAGUGCCAGAGACUCCUUAACCGCCAAUUCAUCAGACCGCCUAGCGAGCAGUCUGUUAUCUCUGGGGGUGACAAGAUUCCGGGCCACCACCGCAGCAGUCAUGUCAUUUUUCAUCACCGAAUCCCCCACGGUAAGGGGACCGGUAGGGGAUAUGAAGGAUGGCCGCCAUAUGUUGUCUGGUGAAGGCGGAGCUGCCUCUUCACCAAUGUUCAAGUCAAAACGACGAUCAGAAGGGCCAGACAUUUUUCAGAGGUGGUGAAGAAAGAAGAGAGUCGGAAUGAUCAAGAUUAAACAAGUGCAAGAAGGGAGUGUUUACAGGAGGGAGCUCAAGUGUGUUGUGGAACAAGCUUAGCGCCUCUAUAAAAAGAAGAAAUCGGAGAGGCGCUCCUCAGAGAAGCGUCCUCUCGCAAAUCGAAGAGUCGGGGCUCCUUUCUCAAAAGCCGGAUUCUUUUCUCAAAAGAGGAGUUUCCGUUCUCAAAAACCGGAUUCUUUUCUCAAAAGAGGCGUUUCAUUUCUUAAAGGCUGGGCUUGCUCAGAAACAAUGAGCCGAACCCCGGAUUUCAAAAGAUCAAUUUGUCCAGACGUGUCGUCACUUGUCACACGCAAAUUGCUUUGCGAAAUUCUCGGGCAGUUUGUCGAAGCACCAAUUCAGAAAUCAAAGAGGGAAAUUCAACAGUCAAUGACACGCUAGCUUUCUCAAAAGCUGGGCUUCAACCCACGGGCAAAUCUUCUUUUCCAGAUUUAUCCGCACGUGUCACAUGCUACCUCUACAAUCGACGAUGCUCAGAGCUCGAAGCGCCGAUUCCAGAUAUCAAUGAGGAAUCUGCUUUGCGGAAAUUACGGGCAACUUUGUCAGAAAGCGCGUAAUUUGUACUAUUCAUCCAUCUACCGGCUGCCGACACUAAGUGAGAGAACAGUUCCGGUUGUGAAGACAAGUCCUAUAAGUUUCUACCUUCGCCUUCCACAGCAAAAGCACACUCUCUCAGCACACCCUCUCAACACUUCUUCAUCUCCGAAAAUGCAUUCCCAAAGAACCCUCUCGAGUCACUCUGUAUUCCUCAUUCCUUGGGAUACUCCUGCGAACAACCCAUUCAAAGCAAAAGUAUUUCAUAUCAUGAAGGUUGAAAGCAAGAGUAUCUCAUAUCAUGCUUUCUCCCUGUCCUUUCUCCAGCCAGCACCUGCUCUCGAGUACUCAUCAUCUUAUGUUUCCGCUUCGUCUCUCACGUAUAAGGGAAGUGAAGAUGAUACCUCGAAGCAUGUGGAGACAACGUGCUGAUUCAUCCUCAACUAAGGACAAGGAGAAAGAGAGCAAGAGGUGGGCACUUGGAAAGAUUGAAGAAAGAAACAGACCAAUACCUCUACCUCGUGCCUGCCCGCCAUGCAGAGGAAACAAGCAGAGAAGAAUGCAGCUUGCGCAAUCAUCCCAGCGGAAGGAGUCUGAGAUGAAGAACAAGAGAAGCUGCCACAUCUGCUUGGAGAACAAAUAAGGAACUGCAACAUUCCCAAAGAGCAAAGCUCCGCCGUACAAUAUCAUCAAAUCAUCACUUGCAAGUAAAAGCUAAGUGUCACCCCGUUCAAGAGGAAAGCUGUGGAAAGUCAACAAGCACGACUAAUGAUUACUUAUUAGUUUUAUUCAUUAUCUUUUAUCGUAAUUUUCAAUUUUUCGUUUGCAAUUUUGUUUUAAUUAAUUUUCUUGCGUACUUAACUGAAUUAUUUCUUUUCUUUGCAGGAACUUUUGGUUAUUUCCACCCUUGAAGUUGAUUGCAGAAUUUUAGCUUGGGGGUCAUCGCUUGAUUUUACUGCAAAUUAGGGAAGUUUUCAGUCCAAUUGCUUUAUUUUGUUUCUUAUUAUUUAUUUAUUUUAUUUUAUUUUUAUUUGCGUUAUAGUGUUUUCUGACAUUGGGGACAAUGUCAAGUUUAAGUGUGGGGGUAGAAAUCUCCAGAAUUUCAUUUGUUUCUGUGUUGUUGUUUUUUGUGUUCUUAAUUAGUUUUGUUUUCUUUUAAAAAAAAAAUAAAAAAAAAAAACUGUGUUGUUGUUUUUUUGUGUUCUUAAUUAGUUUUGUUUUCUUUUAAAAAAAAAAAAAAAAUUUAAAUUUAAAAAAUUUCGGAAAAUUUAAAAAUCCAAAAAUAUUGUCUUGUUUCCCUUAUUGUUUUGAAUUAGAUUUUUGUUAGCUUCCCGACCCAAUGAUAUAAUUGGAUCAAAUUUGAACCAUGAUCAUCAAGAACUUAGUUAACAUGUGUUUUGUGAAAUUCCUAAUUCUCUUGUUAGUUUUGUACAUGUUUGAUCAUCUUUGAAAAACCAAAUGCACAUAGCCUUGUUGAUGUGAAACUAAAGCAUGACUUAAAGCUUCAUAUGUGAAUUUAGUGACCAUAUACAUCCUAUGUGAGUUUUUGAGCCUAUUGAAAGUGUGUGCAUUUUUCAUACACUCCUAUUCUUUUCAUGUGUGAUGAACUUAUGUGAGAUACAUCUCUAGAACUUGCGUAAUGAUCUUUCGAAAUGUUUGUCAUUGAUUGCAUGAACUUGGAAAUGAUAGAGGCAUUAGGUUUACCACCAUGGCCCAAAUAACCAUGUUUCCCAAAGAAAAAUGAUAUCAUUAGAUUGCCAAUUUGAGCCGUGUAUGUUGAGCCUUUUAUUUCUUAUCACCAGAUAUGUCUACCCUUAUGCCUGAAACAUUUUUCCUUACCCUUUCCAAGCGAGCAAUGCGAGAUUGUCCUAUGAGAUACGUUUGUGAAGUACUUUGAAGGUGUUUGGCAAAAGAAUAAGUGUGGGGGUAUUUCAUGUUUGUAUUUAAAAAAAAAAAAAAAAAAAAAAAAAAAAAAAAAGAAAAAGAAAAAGAAAGAUUGUAUACAAAGAAAAUAAAAAGUUUUUAAAGUUUCAGUUUAAGGGUGUGGUUGGAGGUGCGAGAAGAAUCGCGGGAAAGCUUGAGUUCUUAUAAAUCUAAACAAAAGAAUUGCUUGCAAUGUAGCUUGGAACUUGUGUUUUCCUAUUCUUCCGUUUCAAUAACCCUAUCCCUAAGCCUCAUUACGUCCAAUAAAAGUCCUCUUGAUUUAAGUUUUGCAAUUAUGAUUGUGGAGAUGAGAUCUUUAUGCAAGCUUAUGGUAGAAAUUUCACAUUUGAUUCUUUGAGCGAAACACAUUAAAACUAAACACAUGUGUGAUUGAGUGAAUAUUCAGUGAGAAGGUCGCUAGUUUGCAUAUGAUGAUUUUAAAAUAAAAACUUGAAAUUGCAUUAGCAUGGCUAUCUCACACACUACACUUCAAGGAUGAUUCAAAGAUUACUGCUAAUAUUUGAAUAAGAAAGAUGAACUUGAAUUAGUUUGUUUGAUGCUUGCUAUGGUUCUUGAUGAUUUGUUUUCUUAAAAUGAAAUUCUAUGAGGGUCACAUAGAGGGAAGCUAAUGUUUUUCUUGUUAUUACUUUUUCAUGUUUUCUUUGUUUUGCUCGAGGACUAGCAAAAGUUAAGUGUGGGGGUAUUUGAUCGGAUCAUAUUUAUAUAUAUUUUUACUUCGAAUUCACUCGUCUUUUCUUAGUUAGUUCCUUAUAUUUUUGAGCUAUUUAUGUUAUUUUUGUGUUUAUAGGAUUUGUUAUGCAAAGAAAAUAAAAAUAGCAUAAAUGAGUUUUAAAUAAUAAACAGAAAGAAUAUUGAUUUUAUUUUUGGAUUGGGUUUUAUUUUGGUUUAUUUUAUAUGCAUUGAAUUGAUUGUUUCAUAGAAUAUUGGUUUUGGAUUUGUUACUUGAAUUUGUUCUUAAUUCCGAAACUGCUACUAAUUUAGAGUUUAUGAUACAAAUCAAUUUUGUAUUAUAUUGUGAAAGGAGAAUCCAAGAAGGUAGGCUGCCAGCGGAAGAAAAGUAAAAGGUCAGAAAAGAAAAAUAAGGAGACAGCUGGGGGAAUAAUUUUGGAACAAGAGGAGAGAUAGAAGGGAUUGAUGCGGGCCCUUGCAGGUGGAAAGCUGUGAAGACCGACAGAAUUGAGGGCAGUGAGGCAGCCAGGAGAAAAAGGAAAAUAAAAUAAGGGAAUCCAAGAGAGAAAAACGUGCAGGACUGAUGAAGUAAAUAAAAAAGAGAGGAAAUGGGCGCGGAAAAAGGCAGCUGCCUUUGGGCAGCGCUAGGAAAUAGAAUAGGAAAAACAAAGAGACAGAGAAGAGUGGAAAUCCGUGAGGAGAGGGGGGGGAGCUGCCUUUGGGCAGCUCGCAGACAGACGCAGCGGAACAGAAAAAUAAUUGGGGGAGAGAAGAGACUGACGUGGGCGCAAGAAGGGAGCACGGGAAGGAAAGAAGACAGUACGGGGAGAGAGGAAAGGAAAAGCAGGAAACGGUGAGGCGCAGCGAGAGGUCAGGAGGUCAGGAGGUCAGCACGCAGAAAGGAAAGAAAAUAAGAGGCCAGUGGCACAGUAGGCGCAGGAAAGAGGAGGAGAGAGAGUGGCGACGGGACACGGGACUGAGGGCAGAGACCAGCAGAAAUGGGAGCAACACAGAGAAAAGUUUCACUCCAUUUUUCUUGGUUUUAUCUUCUCAAACUCAUGUUUAAUUUUUGGUUUAAUUUUAGAAUAAUGCGUAGCUA